rnacentral:rRNA from 1 species
UACGGGGGGGGCAAGCGUUGUUCGGAAUUACUGGGCGUAAAGGGCUUGUAGGUGGCCAACUAAGUCAGACGUGAAAUCCCUCGGCUUAACCGGGGAACUGCGUCUGAUACUGGAUGGCUAGAGUUUGGGAGAGGGAUGUGGAAUUCCAGGUGUAGCGGUGAAAUGCGCAGAUAUCGGGAGGAACACCAGUAGCGAAGGCGGCCCUCUGGGCUGACACUGACGCUCAUGCACGAAAGCGUGGGGAGCAAACAGG